rnacentral:rRNA from 1 species
AACGAACGCUGGCGGCAGGCUUAACACAUGCAAGUCGAGCGCCCCGCAAGGGGAGCGGCAGACGGGUGAGUAACACGUGGGGAUCUGCCCAAUGGUACGGAAUAGCUCCGGGAAACUGGAAUUAAUACCGUAUGUGCCCGCAAGGGGAAAGAUUUAUCGCCAUUGGAUGAACCCGCGUCGGAUUAGCUAGUUGGUGUGGUAAAGGCGCACCAAGGCGACGAUCCGUAGCUGGUCUGAGAGGAUGAUCAGCCACACUGGGACUGAGACACGGCCCAGACUCCUACGGGAGGCAGCAGUGGGGAAUAUUGGACAAUGGGCGCAAGCCUGAUCCAGCCAUGCCGCGUGAGUGAUGAAGGCCUUAGGGUUGUAAAGCUCUUUCGCCGACGAAGAUAAUGACGGUAGUCGGAGAAGAAGCCCCGGCUAACUUCGUGCCAGCAGCCGCAGUAA